GGACCAACACUCUGUCACUUUGAUUAUUCUAUCUGUUGUUCAUCAUUUUUCACUGAUUUGUAUUGGAGGAUUCCUGCCAGAUAUAACUCCGGUCAAUGUGGAUUUUAUUUUGCAGGUGCUCUUCACCGAUGAUGGGUGCAAUAAGGGAUUAAUCGCAACAGAUCCAAUUAUCCAUGUUGCAGGAUGCUAUUGGUUUGGUCUACAACUUAGCUGGUAGAUCGGAUUUAAAGAAUAAUUUGCCUUGAAUUAGGGUUGUGACAA
rnacentral:lncRNA from 1 species